UCUCACUCUGUUCUCUACUUCUCUGGGUCUGUCCAACCCUUCAUAACAUCAACCACCUUUAAACUCUCUUUCGCUGUCUGUGGAGUUUCGACUCUGGAGACCUUGUUUCUUCUUCUUCUUCUCGUUUAGGAUUUUUGUUUCCUUCUUGCUUCCCUACUACGAUGAAUGCAAGGCAUGCGUCUCCUUUCACUACAUCUCAGUGGCAAGAGCUUGAACAUCAAGCUCUCAUAUUCAAGUAUAUGGUGUCUGGAGUUCCCAUUCCAUCUGAUCUCAUCUUCCCAAUCAAAAGAAGCCUGGACUCUUCACUGUCAUCAAGGCUAUUCCCUCAUGAACCCAUUGGGUGGGGUUGUUUUCAGAUGGGUUUUACCAGGAAAGCAGACCCAGAGCCAGGGAGGUGCAGAAGAACAGAUGGGAAGAAAUGGAGGUGCUCGAAGGAUGCAUAUCCGGAUUCGAAGUACUGCGAGAGACACAUGCACAGAGGUAGAAACCGUUCAAGAAAGCCUGUGGAAAUUAUUGCAUCAAACCCUUCAACACCCAUGUCAUCAAUCACUAGAAACCAGUCGACGAUCACCCCUACCAGAAUCACCGCUACCACAAGUCCUUACUCCCUUUCUUCUCUUUCACCAUCAGUUGCAGCUGAAAGCCAUCAUCAUCACCACCAUCCUUACUAUAAUACCUCACUUUAUCCCUUCCUUUAUCCCCACUCUUCUAGACCUUCAGGUAUUAGUUUCUCACCCCAGAACAACUCUACCCAUUUGCUUUUAGACACUGGAUCUUACUCUCAUGCCGAUAAAGAUUACAGAAGCAGGUACUCUAAUGGGCUAAAGGGGGAUGUAGAUGAGAUUUCCUUUUUCUCAGAAGCCUCAGGGACUGUUAGAAGUGUCUCCGAUUCGCCCUUUGAUGACCCAUGGCGGUUAACACCGCUGAGAAUGAGUUCCUCUUCUGCAGCUCAAUCAAAACAGAAGAGUUGCUCUGCUUUACAAGGUGAGUACACUCAAUUGCAGUUGCAGAACUUUACUGCUAUCUCUAAACAGCAAGAAGAGCGGCAAAAUCAAGAGCAACAACACUGCUUUGUUUUGGGUACCGACAUCAAAUCUGAAAGACCGAUGAAGGUGGAGAGGGAAGAGGUACCUCAGCAGCCGUUGCUCCACUUCUUCGAUGAGUGGCCACCAAAGAACAGAGACUACUCCACAACCCAGCUCUCAAUUUCUAUUCCAAUGCCAUCUCCUGACCUCUCAGUGUCCAGUCACCGAGCCCAGAAUGAUAGUUGAACUGUCAAAGUGGGUGGAUUUUCUUCGCUAAGAGAACUACUCUCAGCUUAGUCUCUGAUUGAAUAAUGUGUAACAGGAGCCGGGAGGAUUCCCUUUUGCUUUUUCAAUGGUGGCUUCUACCCUGAACCGUGGUUAGUGGUUGCUCAUUAAGAUUUGUUCAAAGUUAGAAAUUUACCAUAAAUCUACUUGGGAAACCUGUCGCACUUAUCGAGCUUAUUGGUUGGGAUGGCAAGACUUUCUGGAUCCAUGGAACUGCACCAUCUUCCACGUUACCCCCUGCUGUCAAACAGGAAUCAUUGAAUUGGGUUUGACAGAAAAUUCCAUUUUCCUUAAAAUCCUUCCCAAAGGGCUAAAUUUGUCAAGCAAGAAAAGGAUUUUUGUGUUCUUCUCUUUUUAUUUUGCCACAAUUUAUUGCCAAACAUUGUCUUAAGUUCCAUAUCAUAAUUUUCUUUUGAUUA